rnacentral:misc_RNA from 1 species
UCCGUUUUGUCAACGGCAGUCUCUCUAGAGUGCCCAACUUAAUGCUGGCAACUAAAGAUAAGGGUUGCGCUCGUUGCGAGACUUAACCCAACAUCUCACGACACGAGCUGACGACAACCAUGCACCACCUGUGAGGCGCCCUUACGGACCCGGCAUCUCUACCGGUAAACACCCCAUGUCAAGCCUUGGUAAGGUUCUUCGCGUUGCAUCGAAUUAAUCCGCAUGCUCCGCCGCUUGUGCGGGCUCCCGUCAAUUCCUUUGAGUUUUAGCCUUGCGGCCGUACUCCCCAGGCGGGGCGCUUAAUGCGUUAGCUGCGGCACGGAACUCGUGGAAUGAGCCCCACACCUAGCGCCCAACGUUUACGGCAUGGACUAC